UUCAUAAAAACAAACGCUGCGGUUUGGUUUAACUGAGCAGGGCACAAGAGGAGGCCUGCAGCACACGAUCCCAGCCCCAAUAUCUGAGCAGCCAAACAUCCCUAAAAUUAUUUUGCCCGCGCAAAACCAUUCACCUUGGUUCUGAGAGAGAGCAAACUGCAGAGCUCUGCGAUCAUGGCGAAAAUUAGGGAAGUCUUCUGUAAUCUCUGUACUAAGGCGUUUUACAACACUAAAGGUUUGCUAUCUCAUCAAGCGGAAAAUGGAGCUUAUUUGUGAGUUCUGCAAAUUACGGUUCGCUAGUGACGUGACCCAGAUCUAAUCGACCACUUGAAACGUGCUCACAAUCACGGUCGAACAAGAUAAUUUUCUUUUAUUUUCUUUAAUUUUCUUUCUGUUUCUAGGUCUUUCUUUUCCUUUUUUCUCGCUCUAGGUCUUGAUUUUUCUCUUCUUUAGUUUUUAUAUUGGACCGAUUACUCUCGUCCACAAUGAAAUUGUUGCCGAAUUUUGCGUCUUGAUUUUGGAGACACUUCUAUAGUUUCAGAGGCCUAUGCCAAAAUGCUUACAAUAAUUAUCCUUGGAGAAAAGAGUUCUCUUUUAGCUCAUUUCAUGUGCUUUGAAGUACCUGCACUUGUCCCACAAGGAGGUCGUGCCAAUGGUGACAAUGAUGCCAAUGAUGAUGAUUUGGGCAUCAUGGACAUGGAUGAGAAUGAUAGGGGUAAAAAUUCUGCAGAGGUUGAUUGACUUCAUGAUUUGCUUGACGGGAUACAGGUUGCUGGAGUUUGGUGCACUUGACCAUCUGAAGAAACUGUCUUCAGACUCUCUGGCAUCACCAUCCACUUGAUGACAACUUUGUAAUGUAGAUAGGUUCAACCAGUAUCAACCUAUAGUUGAGCCAGCACAAGCAGGGUCACAUUGGUUUAGAACCAAUUAGCUUGGAAGACUUCUAUGUUGUGGUGGACUGGGCAUACAAGAUUGAUCCUUUGCGCUACAUAUCGAUGCAUGGGAUUACAGAACGCUAUAUUUCUGGUCAGAAAGCUCAUGCAGCAGGAUUUGUCCUUAACUUGCUUCAUAACCUAGAAUUUUGUUGAUGAAGCUUGUCACCAGAUUGAAAGAAAUGAGGGAAAUGUUCGGCAAAUGGGUGUCUUAUCAUAUAUACCAAGCUGAACUGGUUUAUGCUUCUGUUAAGUGAUUUAUGCUUUUGCAUUCUACUCCCAUUCUACUAAUUCUAGGCAAUUGUCAGGAAUUCUACUUUUUGGUCAGAUGGAAUGAAUUAGGAGCAGACAUAUAUGGGAUGUACAACGGGGAACUAUUAGUUUUCAGAUUGAUCAAAAUUUUCUAAACAUUAUUUGAGACCGCUAAAAAUCAAAGAUAACUCUUGAACUGGUAUGUUUCUCAAAUAUAGUAAGUUGUACUUGGAGAUGUUAAGGUUGAGAAUGACGUGCUCUAAAAUAUCUAAAAAUCUUGUAAUGGGACAUUCUUAACUAACUUCAAUUAGAGAACAUUUUGACCUGGCCCCGUUUUUUGCAUGACAGAUAUGCUUACUCUUUCUAUUUUAAGUUGUUCAUUGUUAUCAGCAUGAUUGAGAACCUUUGUUAGUUCCAGUUAAAUAUGCCAAUACCAAGUGUUGGUCUUGUCAAUAUGAGGUGCACUUAGUAUUAUUCCAUCAAAGUGGUUUUUCUCACACUUAAACCUGCAUAUCAUGCUUAUCAUCUGUUCAAAUUCAUGAGAGAUAGAGGGAGAGAGAGUAAUGUAUAUUCUGUGUAUUC